GGUCAGUGAGCUGUGACUCAGUGAGAGACCACCGCAAGAAGUAAUGUGGAGAGUGACAGAGGAAGGCACCGGCUGUCAGUCUCUGUCUCCUACAUGAGCGUGCACCCCUGUUCACCUGCACAUACACAAACAGAGUGGACUCUGUCCUUGAACAGGAACCAGCCCUCACAUCUACAUUCCCAAACAAAAGCAUCGGGCUGAGUCAUGAGCCCAGGAUGGGAAGGAAGAUUCUCACAAAUGAGAGGCCCAGGGGUGAUCUGGCAGAAGCUGUAUUUCAGGGAAUAUCUUUAUCUGUUCGGGAUCUGGACGACUCUCGACAAGCAUUUACUGAAAGUUUGAAUGAGUAGGGGCUGGGGACACAGCUCGAUGGGCGAAGUGCUGGCAGCCCAUGCCUGAAGACCAGACGUCAGUGUCUUCCAAGUGCCUGGAAGAAGGAGGCAGGAAGACCCCAGGCUCGCUGGCUGGCCAGGCUGGCCUGUUAUGCAGGAUCCAGGCCAGUUCCAGACCCUGCUUUACAAAACAAGACAGCUGGAUCUUGAAGAAAAUUUUAAGUUGAGCCCAGGGCUCAUAUACAUACGUGUGUAUGCACUAAGUAUCUGUUAAUAUAUAAAUAAUGUGAAUGUAUUGGCAGCCAUCCUCUUGUUUCCAGCAUUCCACUCCUGUUAUUUAAUCUUAUUACUAAUACCAUAAAAAUAAAGGUUAUACUAUAUAUUAUAAUAUAAA